ACUCCUACGGGAGGCAGCAGUGGGGAAUAUUGGACAAUGGGCGAAAGCCUGAUCCAGCAACGCCGCGUGAGGGAUGAAUGCCUUCGGGUUGUAAACCUCUUUCAGCAGGGACGAAGCGAAAGUGACGGUACCUGCAGAAGAAGCACCGGCCAACUACGUGCCAGCAGCCGCGGUAAUACGUAGGGUGCGAGCGUUGUCCGGAAUUAUUGGGCGUAAAGGGCUCGUAGGCGGUUUGUCGCGUCGGGAGUGAAAACCAGGUGCUUAACACCUGGCCUGCUUCCGAUACGGGCAGACUAGAGGUAUGCAGGGGAGAACGGAAUUCCUGGUGUAGCGGUGAAAUGCGCAGAUAUCAGGAGGAACACCGGUGGCGAAGGCGGUUCUCUGGGCAUUACCUGACGCUGAGGAGCGAAAGUGUGGGGAGCGAACAGGAUUAGAUACCCUGGUAGUCCACACCGUAAACGUUGGGCGCUAGGUGUGGGACUCAUUCCACGAGUUCCGUGCCGCAGCUAACGCAUUAAGC
rnacentral:rRNA from 1 species